rnacentral:misc_RNA from 1 species
AUGAAUAAAUUAGGUGUAAUCUUUUAACAGAUUCACUGACCCUUUAUCAUUUUUCAAACUCUUGUGCAUUUAUUAAUGGUGAUUAGAAGAAGGAAACUUCUUUCUUUUCACGUCUAUCAUUUUAAAAAACUUUAAUAGUCAGAGUAUGUUUUAAAAAUUUUAUAAUUAAAAAA